rnacentral:rRNA from 1 species
CCUACGGGAGACAGCAGUGAGGAAUAUUGGUCAAUGGGCGCGAGCCUGAACCAGCCAAGUCGCGUGAGGGAAGACGGUCCUAUGGAUUGUAAACCUCUUUUGUCGGGGAGCAAAAGACGCCACGCGUGGCGUUCCGCGAGUACCCGAAGAAAAAGGAUCGGUUAACUCCGUGCCAGCAGCCGCGGUAAUACGGAGGAUGCGAGGGUUAUCCGGAUUUAUUGGGUUAAAAGGGUGCGCAGGAGGAAGAUCAAGUCAGAGGUAAAAUUGGGAGGCUCAACCUCUUCGAGCCGUUGAAACUGGUUGUCUUGAGUGAGUGAGAAGUAUGCGGAAUGCGUGGUGUAGCGGUGAAAUGCAUAGAUAUCACGCAGAACUCCGAUUGCGAAGGCAGCAUACCGGCGCUCAACUGACGCUCAUGCACGAAAGUGUGGGUAUCGAACAGGAUUAGAUACCCGGGUAGUC